ACUGCUAAUACCGCAUAAGCGCACAGGGUCGCAUGACCUGGUGUGAAAAACUACCGGUGGUAUGAGAUGGACCCGCGUCUGAUUAGCCAGUUGGUGGGGUAGCGGCCUACCAAAGCGACGAUCAGUAGCCGACCUGAGAGGGUGACCGGCCACAUUGGGACUGAGACACGGCCCAAACUCCUACGGGAGGCAGCAUG
rnacentral:rRNA from 1 species